AGCUAGCCCUGAUGGUAGCGGCAUCCUUGUGGAGGCAGGCUUUAUGCCGACAUAAAAUAUAGCGAACAGCAGGAACUUAG
rnacentral:sRNA from 1 species